GAAGGAACCAAAGAAAAACAGAGCUCCCAAUGACAGGCCUGCUGUGGCCUAGAACCUGCUGCCCAAAGCUUCCAGUACGUCCCCAAAGGAAGAUGGCAUCUGGGACAAACUGCCAAAUGUGCUGUGAUUAUAGACCUAUGACAUCAUGGCUGUCUGUUUUCUGGAAUUUUCGAUGGUUAUUACAGGCUGAAUGCUGAUCCUCCAGCAAUUGAUACAUUAAAUCCCUAAUCAUCAGCAUGAAGAGAGAGAGGAGGCGAGUUGCUGGCUCUCACACAUCCAUGACUGGAUAAAGCUGUAGCUGGACCCACCUAGGCUACUAUUAUUGGACUGUGGUUAAGCAAAGUGAGAGUAUUCAGAAAGGGAUGGCUGAGGUUAAAAAUAGUAGAGAAUGAACAAUCACAUUUAAUGGAUGAGGCAC
rnacentral:lncRNA from 1 species